rnacentral:misc_RNA from 1 species
GGAAGCCGACGAAACCGCAGGCGAGAUUGAGGACAAGGCAGUACUGGAUGCCGCCAUUGUCGCGAACUGCCAGGCCGUGGAGCACUACGAGAUCGCCCGUUACGGCACGCUCANNNNNNNCUCGGGCAUGAGGAGAUCGUGCGCUUCCUCACGACAAAUCUGAAUGAGGAAAAGGCGGCGAACACCAAGCUCAAUACCGUCGCGCUUCGCAAGGGCGUGAAUACCAAGGCAA